GGUUAAGCGACUAAGCGUACACGGUGGAUGCCCUGGCAGUCAGAGGCGAUGAAGGGCGUGCUAAUCUGCGAUAAGCGCCGGUAAGGUGAUAUGAACCGUUAUAACCGGCGAUACCCGAAUGGGGAAACCCAGUGUGAUUCGUCACACUAUCAUUAACUGAAUCCAUAGGUUAAUGAGGCGAACCGGGGGAACUGAAACAUCUAAGUACCCCGAGGAAAAGAAAUCAACCGAGAUUCC
rnacentral:rRNA from 2 species